AGAGUUUGAUCCUGGCUCAGGGCGAACGCUAGCGGCGCGCCUAACACAUGCAAGUCGUGCGGGAAAGGGCUUCGGCCCUAGUACCGCGGCAGACGGGUGAGUAACACGUGAGCAACCUGUCCCCGGGUCUGGGAUAACCACCCGAAAGGGUGGCUAAUACCGGAUAAAGUCACCGGGCGCAAGCUCGGUGAUGAAAGGGGGCCUCUGCAUAGCAAGCUCCUGCCUGGGGAGGGGCUCGCGGCCCAUCAGCUAGUUGGUGGGGUAACGGCCCACCAAGGCUAUGACGGGUAGCCGGCCUGAGAGGGUGGUCGGCCACACGGGCACUGAGACACGGGCCCGACUCCUACGGGAGGCAGCAGUGGGGAAUCUUGGGCAAUGGGCGAAAGCCUGACCCAGCGACGCCGCGUGGGGGAAGAAGGCCUUCGGGUCGUAAACCCCUGUUCUGGGGGAAGAACCCUGAACGGGUUAAUAGCCCGUUCAGGCUGACGGUACCCCAGGAGAAAGCCACGGCUAACUGCGUGCCAGCAGCCGCGGUAAUACGCAGGUGGCGAGCGUUGCCCGGAAUCACUGGGCGUAAAGGGUGCGUAGGCGGCAGGGCAAGUCGCGGGUUAAAGCCCGGGGCUCAACCCCGGAAAGGCCUGCGAUACUGCCUUGCUUGAGGGCCGGAGAGGCUGGCGGAAUUCCCGGUGUAGGGGUGAAAUCCGUAGAUAUCGGGAGGAACACCGGUGGGGAAGCCGGCCAGCUGGACGGUUCCUGACGCUGAGGCACGAAAGCGUGGGGAGCAAACCGGAUUAGAUACCCGGGUAGUCCACGCCGUAAACGAUGGGUGCUAGGUCUGGGGAGGAAACUCUCUGGGCCGAAGCUAACGCGUUAAGCACCCCGCCUGGGGAGUACGGCCGCAAGGCUGAAACUCAAAGGAAUUGACGGGGGCCCGCACAAGCGGUGGAGCACGUGGUUUAAUUCGAUGCAAAGCGAAGAACCUUACCUGGGCUUGACAUGCCAGGGUUGUACCCCGGUGGAAACACUGGGGGAGCGUGGGUUUUUACUCACGCGCUCUGGCACAGGUGCUGCAUGGCUGUCGUCAGCUCGUGCCGUGAGGUGUUGGGUUAAGUCCCGCAACGAGCGCAACCC
rnacentral:rRNA from 1 species